GAUGAACGCUGGCGGCGUGCCUAAUACAUGCAAGUCGAGCGAACAGACGAGGAGCUUGCUCCUCUGACGUUAGCGGCGGACGGGUGAGUAACACGUGGAUAACCUACCUAUAAGACUGGGAUAACUUCGGGAAACCGGAGCUAAUACCGGAUAAUAUAUCGAACCGCAUGGUUCAAUAGUGAAAGACGGUUUUGCUGUCACUUAUAGAUGGAUCCGCGCCGCAUUAGCUAGUUGGUAAGGUAACGGCUUACCAAGGCAACGAUGCGUAGCCGACCUGAGAGGGUGAUCGGCCACACUGGAACUGAGACACGGUCCAGACUCCUACGGGAGGCAGCAGUAGGGAAUCUUCCGCAAUGGGCGAAAGCCUGACGGAGCAACGCCGCGUGAGUGAUGAAGGUCUUCGGAUCGUAAAACUCUGUUAUUAGGGAAGAACAAAUGUGUAAGUAACUAUGCACGUCUUGACGGUACCUAAGCAGAAAGCCACGGCUAACUACGU
rnacentral:rRNA from 1 species